UACCACAGCUACGGUAGGCAGCAGGUGCGUAAAUUACCCAAUCCAAAUUCUGGAAGGUAGUUACAGGAAAUUUGUUGCGCGUGAUUUAUCACCGACACAACCGAACACAUUUAAGCAUUGUGUGUUUAAUUGGAGGGCAAGUUUGGUGCCAGCAGCCGCGGUAAUUCCAACUCCAAGAGUGUAUCUUAAUGUUGCUGCAGUUAAAAAGCUCGUAGUUGAAUUUCUGAAGAUGGGAGAAGCUCACGCGGAUCCCGUCUUCAUCCGCUCGGAGAGGCUAGGGAACUUUAAUCGGAACUCUAGAUGACCCAGCAUUUUACUUUGAAGAAAUUAGAGUGUUCAUGGCAGGCCUUGCUUGCAUAAAUUAGCAUGGAAUAAUGGAAUAAGACUAGUCUGUUUUAUUGGUUGACAGAAUAGUAAUGAUUAACAGGGACAGUCGGGGGCAUUCGUACUCAGUGGCCAGAGGUGAAAUUCUUAGACUCGCUGAAGACGCACUAAUGCGAAAGCAUUUGCCAAGGAUGUUUUCAUUAAUCAAGAACGAAAGUUAGGGGAUCAAAGACGAUUAGAUACCGUCGUAGUCCUAGCCAUAAACUAUACCGACUAACGAU
rnacentral:rRNA from 1 species